rnacentral:rRNA from 1 species
UGCCGAACAACUAGCCCUUAAAAUGGUAUGGCGCUCAAGCAUUCUCCCGAUACUCGGCCGCCGGGGCACUGUCUUUGGCGCUGAGAGAGGCGCUAUGGAAGCCCCGGCGAGUAGGAGGGUCGCAGCGGUGAGCGUCGAAGGGACUCGGCGCGAGCCGGCCUGGAGCCGCCGCUGGCGCAGAUCUUGGUGGUAGUAGCAAAUAAUCAAGAGAGAGCCUCGUUGGCUGAUGUGGAGAAGGGUUCCAUGUCAACAUCAGUUGAACAUGGGUGAGUCAGGCCUAAGCCCAAGGAUAAAGUUCCUGUGUCCCAUGUGAUCCCAGGCCUCUAAACGGAGAGAAGAAUGUUUGGAAGGUUAAAGGUCAAGCCUGCGUUGCGCUGCGCUGUGAUGGAGUGUGAAAUUCUGUUGGUCGAGGGCGGGGGCCUCCCGUGCCUGCCUGCGCGUUGGUUGUUGUCGGUGCCCAACCGACCGUCCGUCGUCCGU